CUACGUGCCAGCAGCCGCGGUAAUACGGAAGGUCCAGGCGUUAUCCGGAUUUAUUGGGUUUAAAGGGAGUGUAGGCGGUCUGUUAAGCGUGUUGUGAAAUUUAGGUGCUCAACAUCUACCUUGCAGCGCGAACUGGCGGACUUGAGUGCACGCAACGUAUGCGGAAUUCAUGGUGUAGCGGUGAAAUGCUUAGAUAUCAUGACGAACUCCGAUUGCGAAGGCAGCGUACGGGAGUGUUACUGACGCUUAAGCUCGAAGGUGCGGGUAUCGAACAGGAUUAGAUACCCUGGUAGUCCGCACGGUAAACGAUGGAUGCCCGCUGUUAGCGCCUGGCGUUAGCGGCUAAGCGAAAGCAUUAAGCAUCCCMCCUGGGGAGUACGCCGGCAACGGUGAAACUCAAAGGAAUUGACGGGGGCCCGCAMCAAGCGGAGGAACAUGUGGUUUAAUUCGAUGAUACGCGAGGAACCUUACCCGGGCUUGAAUUGCAGACGCAGGAUACAGAGAUGUUGA
rnacentral:rRNA from 1 species